rnacentral:lncRNA from 1 species
CAGCAGAUGCAGUCACAGCAAAACGGUUUCCCUUAUUGUUCUUAAGGAAGGAGGACUUGAUGUGAUCCUCCUGAACCAGUGCAGCCCCAGCAUCCACACUGGUGAUUAUGUGUGUGCCAUAAUUGAGGACCAAGAGUUCUGCCAGGAACUACAUAGCACAGAGACAGGACAUCUGCUUCUUCCUCUUCUUGAGUUUCUUCAAUGCUUCUCUGAUCUCCUUGUUUCUCAAACUAUAUAUGAUCGGGUUCAACAUGGGAAUCACUGCCCCAUAGAACAUGGACACCACCUUAUUUUUGUCCUGUGAGUAUCCAACAUUAGAAUGAAGGUAUGAGAAGAGACCAGAGCCAUAAAAAAGGAUCACUGUAGUCAGAUGAGAGGCACAGGUGUUGAAAGCCUUCAUCUGCCCACGGGUUGAAUGAAUCCUCAUGACAGCAGCAAUGAUGUAGCUAUAAGAGACCAAGACAACCAGCGCUGAUGCCCCACCAACCACACACACAACCAGGAAGUUCACUACUUGGCUGAAAAAAGUGCUGGAGCAAGACAAGGACAUCAGGGGUGGCAAGUCACAGAAAAAAUGAUUAAUGACCCGAGAGCCACAGAAAUGAAGCUGGAAUAUGGAGCUGGUUUGGAUCAAGCCAGUGAGGAACCCUCCUGUGUAUACUGUGAUGGCCAUCCUUACACGGAUGGUGGGUGACAUGAGGGAUGGAUAAAGUAG